rnacentral:lncRNA from 1 species
CUGACUAUGCCUCCGUACGUUCCCUCUUUCGAUCUGUCUCUCCCCUUCCGGUCCAUUCCGUUCCCCCCUCACGGUGCCCGUGUUCGUGUCUCCUAGCCUGACGUAUGUGCGUGUGUGGUUCUUCUGCAGCUCGCGGCGAGGAUUGCUGUGUCCAACCUGCCGCCAAGUGGAAAUAGUCUGUGUGGCGCUCGUAAAUAGAGAGCAUUCUGGUAGAAAGGUACAGGAAAGAAUAGGGAAACUUCUGUCAUUUUCUUUGGUCUCUGAAAAAUAAAUGGUGAUAUGGGCUGAUACAUUGCUAAAUUACAUGAUACAAAGGCACUUCUCUUUUUUGAUUUUUGGUUUACUUCGUUGUGCUACAAUGGCUCUCUUAGGAAUGUCCUUCCAUGCUUUGAUGUGCACAAUCCAGAAAGUGCAUGCAUCCAGAAACCAAAUAGGAUUUUUUAUGUGUUAUCUUCUCAUAAAUCUUGUGCUCGUCCAAUAAGAAUAAGGUUUGGUGGUAUUGCUUUUGUCUGUCACCCGGUAGAUUUCAGACUUCAAGCUAGCUGCAGUUAUUUCAAGUUAUAUGUGCAAAUCCUUGGUGUGACAUGAUUGGUAACUGACCAUGAAUACGUUGCAAUCUGAUAUGUCUAAUUCUUGAUUUAUGUGGUACCAUGGUCUAAAAAUUGGUCCUAAAGAUACAUGAUGUUUUUGUACAAAGUUGAGACAAUUAUUUUUGAACGGAGGGAGUAUUAGAUUAUUUUGUUCCUUUUUAAUUUGGUUCUAAAGAUAUAGUUUCUGAGUGAUCAUUUUGCAUCAGCCAAGCUUGCCGUUGUUACAAAUAAUUGUUCUGUUGUCCUCAAUUCACUUUCUCGGUUUUUUAAUGCUACAAGCGUUAUUGUUCCAGUUUUUUUUAGUUAUUGAUCAUGCCAUUUUUCUUUCUGCCUUUGUAGCUGAAAGAUUAGUGAGACUGACUAAAUUCUGAACAUGUUCCAUGUGAGAGAAAUACAUGUUGAUUUCAUCUUGAAAUAAUCACAGCUGAGGGACGAGGUUCGUAACUGAGGGUCAUGUGCAGAGCUGGAGGAAGAAGUUGCGAGGCUUGGAACUCUCCUUGUGAAGGGCUCAGGGACAGCAGUGAGGACUAUGCCCUUUAGUUGUGAUUGUGAUACUCCUGAUGUGCAAGUAAACACUCCUGUGAUACUCCUUAUGCUACAAUGUUGAUUGUUAGUACAGAGGUGGUGACAUUAUUUGGUUCUUUGGUAUUGAUUUCAUGAUUUGUGGUUAAUACAUGACGUAAUACAAUCCACAUUGCAUUAUAUUUCCAGUUA